CUGCUGGAGGCGUGGAGGAGGACGACAAAGCCCCGCCUUUCGCCAUCCAAUUCGAAGAAGAGCCCGAGACUGUUCGGCCGGAAACUUCCCUCCUAUCCAAGAAUCUACGGCGGGCAACUUCGGAAGAAUCUCCGGUCAGGGGUGACCGUCAUCACCGGCAAAUCCACGGAAUCAGGUGGAGAUUAUAGAGGUGAUUCUGCUACCAACAUUUCCUGGAUAUACCCACCUAAUUGGGAUGUCACAACCUCAUCCUGAGCAGCAACCCAGUGUUGGCGACAUGCAGCUGUGGCAACAACAAUUGAUGUACAAGCAAUUGCAAAAGUUUCAGAGACAUCAGCAAUGUCAUCAACUAGAACAGGGAGCAAGACUGCUAAAUUUUUUUCCGCCACUCAUCUCAUUUACCUACAGUAAUAGAUAAUAUGCCUGUUAAUGAUAUGUCAAGUUACAUGACCCAAUAAUUUUGUUGGAACCAUGCCCAUACUGCCUAAUAACUCUCAGAUGUUAAUUUCUGGCAAUAUGAACUGUGCACAGUCAGGUGGCUCAUGUGCCAUGCAGAAUCCCACAAAUGGUCACACUUUUUUUUAUAACAAAAUUCCAGACGCAAUACAGACAACAACUUGAUCAGUCCUUUAAUGGCAUGCCUGUCUAUGGUAACAAACCCAUUACAAAUCAGUAUUCUCAAUUCAUUGGGAUGUCUAAUGAUGCUACUGGUUUGAUGAGAAAGGCAGCAGCCUACCAGAUAGAAGAGGCAUUUGAUCCAUAUGACAGUUUUCAAAUUGAUCAGUAUUUUCCUGACAAGGCUGCACGGAGGAGAGUUUAAGUUACCAGAUGGAGCUUUCAAGGAAAAGGUUUUCUAGGACACAACCCCAUGCAAGAUUUGAGCAGUGAUGUUACGUUGGGAAAUUUUCACCAAGCAAAUUAUAUGAAACAUAAUAUUCAAGUUGUGGAAUUUUGUCAUAGGGAGGACCAAGAUGAUUGGCCAGGUGAUUUACAGGAAAAACAGGCAGUGCAAGUAGGGAUUUCCAGUGGUGUGGCUAGUCUAGACCCUUAAGAAGAUAAGAUCUCGUUUGGUACCAAUGACAAUGAUAACUGGGGAGCUUCUUUUGGAGGGAGUCUUGAUUCUUUCAUGGGAGGCUAUCCACGUGGUGAUCCUUUACUGAAUGAAUAUUUUGGCUCAAUCCCUUACGUCCAGCGUGGGAGCUGGAGCGCUCUUAUGCAAGAUGCUGUACAAGCUUCUAGCAGUGAACAGGGUGCAGGGUGUCCUUGAAGAAUGGAGUCGCUUGAAUACAUUCAGAUACAUCUACUGAUAGUGGGAAGCUGCUGGAUGCUUGGAGUGAUAGCAACUUGCAGAAUUCAUGUUUCCCCUCUUCGCCUCUUUUAUGAUGCCAAUGGGACUCAAAUUCCAUACUAUUCCUAGUUUUCAAUAUAAUUUGAAGUCUUUAAACGAAGAAGAUGAUGGGGGUACCAAGUGAAGUUCCCAAUGUGUCUUUUCAUCAGUUUACUGGAGAAGCUAACAAGAUACAGUUUCUUGGAAAUCAGGAGCAAAAACAAUAUCUAGAAGGUGGUCAAUUACAAAUGUCAGUAACUAAUGAAAAUAUGGGCAGGGCACAGAUAUGAACAGAAGGAAAACAGUUCUGAAGACUUCAAAUUUAAGUCACAGAUUAUAGUGGGCAGUUGGACUCAGGAAGAAAGCAUGUCCUUUUCCAGUAUUAAUAGGCAGAAUAGUGAUAGUAGACCAAAAAUGGCUUGAAUACCAGCUACCCAUUGGUGGCUGAUGGAGAUGGUUCUUCACUUGUACAUGAAACCCAUGACAAUGAGUGGAAGCUGGGUGCCACCAGUUAUGUUAAUCUAAAUGGUGGAAUGCAACCAUUCAGAUCUAAUAUUGGCAAUUCACAGGAGGUGGAGACUGAAAUGUGUAGCUUUAUCUCUAGUACAAAAUCAAACACCUCUAAUUUAGUUUAGGAAACAAAUCAGCAGAUUACUAAUAGACAUCAAGUUGUUUUUGAAAAAGAUUUCACCCAUGAUGCAUGUGCAGAUUCUCAAGGCAAUGAAAAUAUUGGACGUCCGAAUCAGCCAAGCAGGACAUUGCAACAUUUGGAAACAUCAAGUGGCAGCAACAACAAAAGAUUGGUCAACACCUAUGACAGCAAACAUAGAUUUCCACAUGUUUUUUCAGGAGAAGACUGACUAUAUGGUUGCUAUGAAGGAGACUCAGUAGAGAAUUCUCUUCUAGGGAACCAAAAGUCCUUAACUCAAUAUGAGCAAAAAAAUAUGGAAUCUUCUUUCCCUUCAAGUCACCUUCUAAAUUUUCAACGACCAGCAGAUGUGGUUUUUCAAGGAUCAAAAAAUGUGGUGACAAAGAAUGUUGGAAACUCAAAGUUUGAUAACCAUGAUGUUUUGAACAAUCACAUGGAUGUGACAGAGAGAAUUGCCAAAUGCUAAUGGACCAAAAGAACUGCAUCCUAGAGACAACAUUCUUACCCAUGUCUUGAGUGGUUCUUUUGAUGGAAUAACUGCUCAAUUUUCUGAGAAGCAUUUCUCAAUCAAGUCAAAAUGUUGUUGAGCUUCUUCGCAAAAUUGAUCAGUUAAGGAAUGGUGAUGAGUUUAAUGCACCUGUUAGACCUGCACAAGCUGCUGCUAAUGCUUGUCACCCUCAAUUUAGGCCGUCUACCUUGCAGGGUUUUGGGUUGUGGCUAAACCAACCAUCUCAAAAGCAACCACUUUUGAACUCUGAGGUUCCUCCUCAGACCUGCUUAAUUAACCAUAGGCAGCCACUUGAUCAAAAUGCAGGUCAUAUGGCUCAACCUUUGUCAACUUUUGCAUCAGCUAGGUCUCUUCCUUGUGAAGCAUCUCAAGUAGAAAACUGGAGAAAUAGAUCGAACAUUUCUGGACAAGAAAUCAAAGGAGCCUCAUGUUCUCUUUGACUUUCCUUAUGUCAGAAAUCAUUUUCAGGAAGAGAAGCAGCUGCAAGAGCAAGAAGAAGAUGUAUCUUGCUCUAGUUAUCAUGAAGUAACGGAUAAAACUGGUGAUGUUUCCCUUGGUAGCCAAGCUGAUUUAAGCACACUUGUUAAGAAUGAUAUGCUCCUUAGGCAGCCACCUAUAAAUCAUAACGGAGAUGCAGUUGAUCAGUCUGUUGAGACGCCAUUUCCUAUUCCAGCUGAUAGAGUUUCACCUUGCUUAUCCACCAAAGAUGGAUCUUAGGAAGGCAAUAAAUGCUGGGGGUUUUCAUGUUAAAAGUUCUGAUCUUCAACUCCCUGUUAAGGAGACGAGAUAAGGCCCUCAACAUCCUUUUACUGGCAGGUCUCAGCAAGUUGGCUUCUCAAAAAUGUUGCACGAUGUGUCACCAAAUUUAUCAGUUCGACAUUGCUUAGCUGGUCUGCAGCUUCACAGUGUUGCUCCAAGCAUACUUCAGACAAUAAUAAAUCAUGGUAAGAAUACAAGUUUGUUGGACCUGCAAAAUACAGAUGGUUGAGGUAAAAAUCAGGAAGAAAGUUCUCUGUCUGAAGUAGGUCUGAAUUCCAUUUCACGGGACGGAGAUCAUUAAGUUGUAGCCAAUUUCUUAAAACCAAAGCAAGCUGAGUAUGCUAACAAUGCUCUCUUCGAUGAGGAAGAACCAGUAAAAAGUAAUCUGUUUGAUGGAGAUUCUAAUGUCUACAUUCCAUAUUUGGUCCAACACCAACAGGAUGUUGACAAGAGCAAAGGUAAUGGUUCAGGAUUUCACCCUCAGGCAGUACAUGCUCCAAUUAGAAAUAUUACUUCUUCUAGAAGUGAUGCUUGUUUCUCUGGAAGCACUUUAGUACCUACAGAAUCUCAAAAGAGAAAUUACUCCCUACUGCAACAAAUGCAAUCCAUGAAGGAUGCUGAUUCCAAUUCGAACAUGACCUAAGGACACAGGCUUAAAGGAGCUGACUUUAAAUCUAAUGCUUAUCAAAUGGAGCAUAAUGCAAGUCAGAGAUUUUCUUCUAGGCAGAAUACACUCUUCAAGGAUCCUGCAGAAGGGAAACUUGUUGCAAGUUCACAGAGUUCAUUUCCAUCAGAUGUCAAAAUGUUAUGCUUUUCUUCAAAGAAGAAUGAGAGAGAUUCAAAAAUAACAUCUAUUGCAGAAGAUCAUGAUCUUCAAAAUCAAAUGCACUCUCAGCACUCCAAGAUUCUCAGAUGACCUCUUCUUUAUUAGAAAUGCAUAAAACCUAUGAAAUCAACAAGGGAAUGGCUAAACAUGAUGGACAGAGUCCCAAAUCUGCCACUCAAUUUCACAUUUUUGCAGAAGUUCCUUAGAGCACAGAAAACAGUUCUAUACUAGAACAUAUAGUUGAUAACAGCAAAGUUGAUACCAUUGGGCAAAGUACAUUGGCCAGAACUAUAGCUACCAAUGAAUCAUCUGCCCUUGCACUGCCUCCCAUUGUCAUGGAUCAUGGUGUUGUUCAAAGGUCAAAAAAGCGUAAGAGUGCAGCCUCAGAGCUACGUCCAUGGCAUGAGAUCUCACAAGGUUUACAAAGGUUGGUGAUGAAGCUGAAGUUAUUAAUGGACCAUCAAUGCUUUCAUCACGAAGAAGGCUAACUCUGACAACUCAGAUGAUCCAACAACUCUUACCAGAUUUACCAGCUACAAUGCUUAAUGUGGAUGCAACUUCAGCUUAUGAACAAGUGACCUACUCUGUUGCUAAAUCAGCUCUUUCUGAUUCAUACAGCAAGAUCUAUUCAUCAGAAAGAGAUUCUUGUUUAAUUGAUGGUGAUCUAUAACCAGAAUGUUUAAGUCUUCUCUGGUGGCGGACUGUAUUUUCUCAAAUAUUGUGGAAGAAUUUAGUGGAAGGUCCAACAGGCUUGAAAGCAUGUUCUCAAGGGAAAUCUCUGAACAAUACAUUUACAUGUGGAUUUCCAGAUUUCGAUCGGAUCAUUGUGUUUGAUAGUUUUUUAUAUAUUGACUGAUUAUAUAGGUUUCCAAAAUCCUAUGUGCAUUUGUUAGUAAUUAGCGUGUGGCACGUGCAUUUGCAUGAGCUUAUUCCAGCAAAAGUUAUAGUGAGCAUGGUUUAUAUUACCGGUUUGUAUCGGUGUACCGACCAGCUAUCGGGACGAUGCAUACCGAGCUAUACCGACACAUGAUAUACUGAGGUGUAUCGAUGUACCGCCUAUACCGGUCCUCUAUCGGAUUGGUACAUAUCACCCGUACCGAGCGGUAUGCUUUGGUACGUCAAACCUUGAUAGUGAGAACUAAUACAUAACUCAUUUCCUCUAUUAUGUUGUAUAAUAUUAAUCAUCAAAUGGACAAAAGUAGUAUUAGGAACUAUUUCACAUAGUAUCUUCACCGAUGUAAUAUCUCUGGUUUAGUCCCACAUUAGAAAUGAAAGAAGACUUUGACUAACUGACUAAAUAUGUCUGUUGUCUUC